CGCCCGUUCCGCCGCCCCCGCCCGCCUACGGGAGGCAGCAGUAGGGAAUAUUCGGCAAUGGGCGCAAGUCUGACCCAGCCACGCCGCGUGAGUGAAGAAGGCCUUCGGGUUGUAAAACUCUGUUGUUAGAGAAGAACAAGGAUGAGAUUAACCGUUCAUCCCUUGACGGUAUCCAACCAAAAAGCCCCGGCUAACUUCGUGCCAGCAGCCGCGGUAAUACGUAGGGGGCAAGCGUUGUUCGGAUUUAUUGGGCGUAAAGCGAGCGCAGGCGGUUUUUUAAGUCUGAUGUGAAAGCCCCCGGCUCAACCGGGGAGGGUCAUUGGAAACUGGGAGACUUGAGUGCAGAAGAGGAGAGUGGAAUUCCAUGUGUAGCGGUGAAAUGCGUAGAUAUAUGGAGGAACACCCGUGGCGAAGGCGGCUCUCUGGUCCGUAACUGACGCUGAGGCUCGAAAGCGUGGGGAGCAAACAGGAUUAGAUACCCUGGUAGUCCACGCCGUAAACGAUGAGAACUAAGUGUUGGAGGGUUUCCGCCA
rnacentral:rRNA from 1 species